rnacentral:rRNA from 1 species
AUACGUAGGGGGCGAGCGUUGUCCGGAUUUAUUGGGAGUAAAGGGUGCGUAGGAGGCCUUGUAAGUCAGAUGUGAACGAUCAUGGCUUCACUGUGGUAAGCAUUUGAAACUGCAGGGCUUGAGUACAGGAGCGGAGAGUGGAAUUCCUAGUGUAGCGGUGAAAUGCGUAGAUAUUAGGAGGAAUACCAGUGGCGAAGGCGACGCGCUGUACGGAUACUGACGCUGAGGCACGAAAGCGUGGGGAGCAAACAGGAUGAGAGAACCUGGUAGUCCACGCUAUAAACGAUGAGUGCUAGGUGUCGGGGGUCAAACCUCGGUGCCGCAGUUAACACAUUAAGCACUCCGCCUGGGGAGUACGGCCGCAAGGCUGAAACUCAAAGGUAGUGACGGGG